GUCAAAAUCCAAUCAUGAAUGCUGCAGUGAAACCCCAUGGAACUACAGAAAACAUGGCACACAGGCGUCUGGAUUCGAACGAAGGGAGUCAAAUGAAGAUACGUCGAGAAGACCAUUAUUCAUCUAAUACCACGAACAGGCAUUAAAAAACUUCGAGCCAAACUACGUACUCCAUUACCCGAAGUAGACAUGAUAAGGAUUGUGAUGAGAAAUUUGCAUGCUGAUUUAUCCCAUAUCAUAUACUCUAUGAAAAUAUAUACAAUCGACCAGUUGCGGUAAAUUAAGUAUACAUCGAGGAACAGUCACAAACCCAAAGUGAUAACGAGGUUGGAUUUGUUGAAGAAAUAAAACUUAGCAAAGCCUGUUGGAACUGUCAAGCAUAUGAACAUAUCUGUAUCAAGUGUCCGAUUUCACAGUGCAUUCUGUGCCUCAAGUGUGUGGAAAACGGCAUGAAGGGCAGUUCGAAGCCGGGAGAGAUGCAUCCGAUUCCAACUCCCGAACAAUAAAUAUGGUCCAGAGUGUGUAGGUAGCUUGGGAUAAUUCAGGUAAUCAGAAAAAGAAAGAAAUAAUUAAAAGAGGGAUGAUAGUUAAAGAAAAGAAAUGGAAAAGGUAUUUGAGUUUUGGUGCAAGCAGAGUUAUACCUUUCUAACCUUUCACCAAAAAUCAAAUAUAGAAUAUUUAAUAGUGAGGAGGAUAGCUAUGGAAUUGUACAUAAACCCCCAUGAAAACACCACGAGUGUACAACAGGACGAAGUAGAUGUUAGCGCAAGAUAUAUAGUUGAGGAUCUAAAUAACAUUGUUAGUAGUAAGGAAGAAAAUAUUAGCAAAAAUGUCUCUAGUAAAAUAAGUAAGUUAGGAAUACAUUUAAAAAUGAAAAUGAAAUGUGUAGACCUGUUAAGCAAUCAGUUCAAACUUGAACGUCUGUCGUCUGCUAAUUUGGGGUAUGUAUAUUUCUUAACAAAUGUAAACUAGCCCAAAUCUUUUGGUAUAGAGGAAAUCAGUGAGGGAGUAUUACAAGACUAUACUUCAUUAAUAAGUGAGAAUUCUGAACAUGAACUUUGCGAUGAGAUGUUCAAAUUUGGUGAAUUUGAAAAAGAUAUUUAAUACUUACGAUGAAUAUGGUCUUGUGAAGACGAAUUAGGAGGUACAUACCGUUAAAGGAAGGUUCCCAUUCAGAUGAAGAUAGAUAUUACCCGGUAUCUUCAGCGGUCCAGAUUCUCACUUAUACAUAAGUAGAUAAAAUGCUUCGAAACCGAAAACCCCGAAAAAUCGUUUAUGUUUCGAUGCGAGGAAGUUAAACGAGCGCACAGUUAAAGACGCAUACCCCAUCCAAAACUUCGAGGGCAUACUUAGCAGACUUGAGGACAAUGUGGACCUUUGUUUGCAUUUUGUAGAUUGAGUUGGACCCAAAAUCCAGGCAUUAUACCACAAUCGCAGUAUCUGGAGGUCCUUUGUUCCAGUAUGUGGCUAUGCCGUUCGGUCUGUGUAAUGCGACACAAAGGUUAUGCAGACUUGUGACUUUUAGGGAAAGUGGCCAAAUGCUUAUUUGGAUAGGGAUAAAUAAGUCAGAACGUUGUCAUAAAGAAGUAUACUACUUAGGAUUCAUGGUCGGAUGAGGUGUCAUGAAGCCGGACCAUUCUAAAGUGGAUGCUAUUAGAAAAAUCCCUGCUCCUAAAAAUGUUAGAGAAGUACGAAGCUUUAUAGGAGUCGCCGGCUGAAUCUAAAGCGGCUUAUGGCUCUACGGGAUCUAAAUGGCAGGUUAGCACUGUGGGAGCUAAAUUUGCAGAUGUUCGAUUUCGACAUAGAAUUCUGAAGAAUAUAUGGACUUAAUAAAACAAUAGAGGACAAUAAAGAGCAAUUUCCACACAUAAAUGUGGAACAUGGUAUGGUAUUUAAAACAACAGCACCCGGAGUCGAAAUGGAACUAGAAGUAUUUUAGUGGAAACUGUGGGUUCCGAAAAGCCUAUUCAAAUGGUCCACGAACCUCAAAUUUAAAUAUUAUUGGCCCAAUAUGAUUGUCCACGUAAGCAACUUUAUAAAAAACUGCAAAGUAUGCAACAUACAUAUGAUGGCUCAAAUUGGAAAUGAAGUACAGACAGACCGCCCGUGCCAAAGACUUUAUAUAGAUUUCUUGGGAAAGUACCCACGUUCAGGAAAGGGGAAUGUUUAUAUUCCGGUUAUAGUGGAUCACCUAACCAAAUUUUCUGGAGGUGAUUCACACCGACAACGGGAAGCAAUUCGUUUCUAAAUAAUUUCAGAAAACGAUGAAAGACUUCCAGAUAGACCCUAUCAGGAUCGCUGACUGUGCACUGCAAUCCAACGCCAACAAUCCAACGCAAAAAUAGACCUAGCGCUACGAACGUCAGUCCACGCAGGGGUAACACCGUUUUUUUUACUUAUUUGGCCACAAUAUGUUUACUUGCGGGAAAGACUAUAAGCGAUACGGAAUUGUUAUUACAAUAUCAGAAUAAUAGGAUCAGUAUAAUAAGAUACAGAAUCAAAAAAUUUGCAUCAAGCUUACGAGAGAAGUGCGAUCCGAUACAAUAGAAGGGCAAGAGUCGUACGUUUUAGUCCCAGACAGGAAAAUUACAAACGUAAUUUUGUACUUAGCAAAUUUCAGGAUAACUACAAUGCCAAUUUUUGCAGUAAAUUUACUAUGUGUCGAGUCUUUGAAGUACUUGGUAACAAUAUGUACAGAUUAUAAACAUCAAAAUUCGACGCUUCGUGAGCUUAUCAUGCCAAGGAUAUAAAAAAAUAGUUUCAUAGUGAGGUGCGAUUAGCAAAUAGCCGAGACUUUUAUUCUAUAGUGCAAUAAUUUUUAUUAAGUGCAAUAAUAGAAUAAGUUGAUUCUCGGUGUCCAUUUAUUUAUUUAAAUUAUUUUGCUCUUCGUCAUUUCCACUGUUAUUUGUCCAAUAUGUGGUACUAUGCUUGUAAAAUAUAGUAUUGUAGUAUAUGACCAACAACAAUAUCGUCACAUUUAGUUACAGAAUUAGAAUGUGAGCCUUUGUACAAGUUUCUGUCCAAGUCUUUUGUUAUUGCCCUAUCUCUGUACAUACAGAGAUAGACACACACCGAGGAUUUACAUGUGUUGAAAAAAAAAAACAAACAAAAAGUGCAGUGGGUGUAGCCUACGCUAAUCAUAGUCCAGGAAAAAUUAUGUUAUGUUGAUGCUUAUGCACCCGAUGAGUUCAGUAUAGCUUAUCCCUUUUCCAACGCCAUGUUUUGUAGAAAGAAAAGAAAUUAAAAAAACAUUCUUGGUUUAGAAUAAUUUUAUGAUUAGAAUAAAUAUUCAUUCAUUUCAACUUUGAAGUAUUACUAGAAAUAACGUAGUGUCUACAACAUUUUAACAAAAAGAAUGAUCAGCAGCAUCUGCAUUAUGUAAAAAAUGUGGGUCAGUUUUCACACAGAAGGGUUUUGUAAUCUUAUGGAUAAACUUUAGAUCUAUUUGUGGAAAACGAUUCAGAUUUAGAUAUAUCUUCAUCCGAUUUCAUGUUUAUAAUGUUUAUUGUGCACGAAAGGGGUAAAAUCAAGCCGAAGGAAAUCAAAACUGGGACAUAUGGCCGAAGAAGUUUUCGUUUUCGAUUAGCUGGAAAGUGUAUCUAUUUACCUCCUUAUCUUCCAUGACAAAAGUACAGAUUGAGUAAACGAACACUUAGAAAUGGCUUACACUGGUGUUCUAUUUGGGGGAAUUGGAUCACAAUUGCAACUUGAGUCAGUUCGGCGAGAUGGGAAAAUACAUAUAUACAUUACUAUAUUCAGAACCAAGAUAUCGAGGAGUCACAUGUGUGCCGAUCAAACUAUAAUACCCCCAGCACUUAGUGUUUAAAAAUAAUAAACAAAACGAAAUUGUAAUUAAUUUCGUGAAAUAAAUCUAUAAUUCAGUUCUUCAAUAUAAAAUAAACGGUCAGCGCUAUCCAUUUCUUAUUUAAAAAAAAUUUUUGUUAUUGCCAUAUUAUCAACAUAGAAUAUGGCAAAAUUAAAUCAGUAAAUGAAGAAGUGAUAAUAGUACUUUGCUUAUCGGAUGGUUCAUACUUAAAUGAAACAUGUAAUAAUGAAUAACGGUUUAUGUGUCAACCAGAUAAUUUUUUAUCCAUCGGAAAGAUGUAAUAACCGGCCAUAGUUUAAAACCAAACAUAUGAUUGCAAGACGUUAUUUUUAAUGUUACCAUGGUUGUUACCAUGACAAAUGAGAAUAUAGACAACGAAAAGUUAGUUUAGUCUUUAGUGUAUACUGAUUUUUUAUAUUAUUUAUUCACUAUAAACUCUUGUCUUAAAUAUACAAAUUGCUCCACAUUCCAAACAAUACUGCCAACAAUAUGCCUCUUGAACACUUACCAUCAAGACAUCCACGGUCGGAACUAAUUCGGCUCAAGGUGGUCAGGUCGGUGAUUCCAACUAUGAUCCAGGCGAGGGCACAAGUACGCUGGCUAGUUCCGUAUUUUACUUUUCGCGGCCCCACCUCAUAUUCCUCUGUUCGCUGGUAGGAAAAAAAAUAGCCCAAAAAUAUGCCGCUAUAGUAAGCUCUUUAUUUGCUGAAUCGAAUAACGCGUUUCAGUACCUAUUAGAGGAUAGAUUAGAAACAAGGAUACACAAAACUACGUAGGCAGAUUUUUAGAGCGUUAUGAAAGAGAUUAAUAAAGUGACUGUAGAGAACAAACAGAAUGAAAAUGGUAGCGAAGGUUCAUCAAGGUUGUAUGGCUUAGGGGGAAGUCAAAAUCCAAUCAUGAAUGCUGCAGUGAAACCCCAUGGAACUACAGAAAACAUGGCACACAGGCGUCUGGAUUCGAACGAAGGGAGUCAAAUGAAGAUACGUCGAGAAGACCAUUAUUCAUCUAAUACCACGAACAGGUUGGGCAUAUUGCACGAAAUUUUUAGUGCACUAAGAAUUAAAUAAUUAGUGGUAGUGCUAUUAGAAUUUCAUUACCACUAAAGAGUUACUGACAUUGAAAAAUUAAAUAGCAAUCCACUAACCAUUUAAUGAUAUUUUAACUCAAUUUUGGCCAAGCCAAAAUAAACAUUAUGUAUAUAAGUAUUAUGUCAUCUAUCAUGGAGUUUACUGAUUAUUUGCUCAAAAUAAAAAAAUAAAUCAUUGAUGAAUAUUUCCAGGCAUUAAAAAACUUCGAGCCAAACUACGUACUCCAUUACCCGAAGUAGACAUGAUAAGGAUUGUGAUGAGAAAUUUGCAUGCUGAUUUAUCCCAUAUCAUAUACUCUAUGAAAAUAUAUACAAUCGACCAGUUGCGGUAAAUUAAGUAUACAUUGAGGAACAGUCACAAACCCAAAGUGAUAACGAGGUUGGAUUUGUCGAUGAAAUAAAACUUAGCAAAGCCUGUUGGAACUGUCAAGCAUAUGAACAUAUCUGUAUCAAGUGUCCGAUUUCACAGUGCAUUCUGUGCCCCAAGUGUGUGGAAAACGGCAUGAAGGGCACGUCGAAGCCGGGAGAGAUGCGUCCGAUUCCAACUCCCGUACAAUAAAUAUGGUCCAGAGUGUGUAGGUAGCUUGGGAUAAUUCAGGUAAUCAGAAAAAGAAAGAAAUAAUUAAAAGAGGGAUGAUAGUUAAAGAAAAGAAAUGGAAAAGGUAUUUGAGUUUUGGUGAAAGGAGAGUUAUACCUUUCUAAUCUUUCACCAAAAAUCAAAUAUGGAAUAUUUAAUAGUGAGGAGGAUAGCCAUGGAAAUGUACAUAGACCCCCAUGAAAACACUACGAGUGUACAACAGGACGAAGUAGAUGUUAGCGCAGAUUAGUAAGGAAGAAAAUAUUAGCAAAAAUGUCUCUAGUAAAAUAAGUAGAAUAAAGUAAGUUAGGAAUACAUUUAAAAAUAAAAAUGAAAUGUGUAGACCUGUUAAGCAAUCAGUUCAAACUUGAACAUCUGUCGUGGAUGUUGAUACUUUAGAAAAUAGAGCAUAUAUAUAAUUUAAAAAAGGUGAUUUAGAAAUUAGUGGCCUCCUGGAUUCAGGACCCUCUUUUAGUUUACUCGGAAGGGAUUGUCAUAAGUUGGUUAAACAAUUAGGAGCAAAAAUUUAACCUUUUUUACUGCAAUAUCUACAGCAGAAGGGAUCAUUUUUCUGUAGUUGAACAAAUUAGAAUUGUGGUGAUAUUUGAAAAUAUGGCGAAAGAAAUUAUAUUCUAUUUGUUACUUAUUUGUUAUUUGUUAUUUAUUUCGAACUGCUAAUUUGUGGUAGAUAUAUUUAUUUAUAUAUAUUUCUUAAGAAAUGUAAACUAGCCCCAAACCUUUUUGGUACAGAGGAAAUGAGGAAGUAUUACAAGACUAUACUGCAUUAAUAAGUGAGAAUUCUGAACAUGAACUUUGCGAUGAGAUGUUCAAAAAGUUGAAGAAUUUAGAUAGAUAUUACCCGGUAUCUCCAGCGGUCCAGAUUCUCACUUAUGCAUAAGUAGAUGAAAUGCUUCGAUUAGGAGUCAGAAAACCCCGAAAAAAGCGAGGAACUUAAACGAGCGCACAGUUAAAGAUGCAUACCCCAUCCAAAACAUCGAGGGCAUACUUAGCAGACUUGAGGACACUAAUUUAUAAGCAAUGUGGACCUUUGUUUGCAUUUUGUAGAUUGAGUUGGACCCAAAAUCCAGGCAUUAUACCACAAUCGCAGUAUCUGGAGGUCCUUUGUUCCAGUAUGUGGCUAUGCCGUUCGGUCUGUGUAAUGCGACACAAAGGUUAUGCAGACUUGUGACUUUUAGGGAAAGUGGCCAAAUGCUUAUUUGGAUAGGGAUAAAUAAGUCAGAACGUUGUCAUAAAGAAGUAUACUACUUAGGAUUCAUGGUAGGAUGAGGUGUCAUGAAGCCGUACCAGUCUAAAGUAGAUGCUAUUAGAAAAAUCCCUGUUCCUAAAAAUGUUGGAGAUGUACGGAGCUUUAUAGGAGUCGCCGGCUGAAUCUAAAGUGGCUUAUGGCUCUACGGGAUCUAAAUGGCAGGUUAGCACGGUGGGAGCUAAAUUUGCAGAUGUUCGAUUUCGACAUAGAACACAAGAAAGAGAAAGGUAGAUUAAUUGUUAAUGCCAGAAGAUGUCAUUGGAUUCGAAACUGUGGAAUUUGAGUCUGAAGAAUAUAUGGACUUAAUAAAACAAUAGAGGACAAUAAUGAGCAAUUUCCACACAUAAAUGUGGAACAUGGUAUGGUAUUUAAUGGAGCUAGAAGUAUUUGAAUGGAAACUGUGGGUUCCGGUAAGCCUAUUCAAAUGUUCCACGAACCUCAAAUUUAAAUAUUAUUGGCCCAAUAUGAUUGUCCACGUAAGCAACUUUAUAAAAAACUGCAAAGUAUGCAACAUACAUAUGAUAUAUGGAUUUCUUGGGAAAGUACCCACGUUCAAGAAGGGGGAUGCUUAUAUCCCGGUUAUAGUGGCUCACCUAACGAAAUUUUCUGGAGGUGAUUCACACCGACAACGGGAAGCAAUUCGUUUCUAAAUAAUUUCAGAAAUAGAUCAUAUGAGGAGCAGGGGUAACGCCGUUUUUUUUUACUUAUUUGCCCACAAUAUGUUUACUUGCGCGAAAGACUAAAGCGAUACUGAAUUGUUAUUACAAUAUGAGAAUGAUAGGAUCAGUAUAAUAAGAGAUAGAAUCAAAAAAAAAAUUGCUUACGAGAGAAGAGCGAUCCAAUACAAUAGAAGUGCAAAAGUCGUACGUUUUAGUCCCAGAUAGGAAAAUUACAAACGUAAUUUUGUUCUUAGUAAAUUUCGGGAUAACCACAAUGCAAAUGUUUGCAGUAAAUUUACUAUGUGUCGAGUCUAUUAAGUACUUGGUAACAAUAUGUACAGAUUAUAAACAUCAAAAUUCGACGCAUCGGGCGCUUAUCAUGCCAAGGACAUAAAAAAAUAGUUUCAUAGUGAGGUGCGAUUAGCAAAUAGCCGAGAAUUUUAUUCUAUAGUGCAAUAAUUUUUAUUAAGUGCAAUAAUAGAAUAAGUUGAUUCUCGGUGUCCAUUUAUUUAUUUAAAUUAUUUUGCUCUUCGUCAUGUCCACUGUUAUUUGUCCAAUAUGUGGUACUAUGCUUGUAAAAUAUAGUAUUAUAUUAUAUUACCACCAACAACAUUGACCUAUUUAGUUACAGAAUUAGAAUGUGAGCCUUUGUGCAAGUUUCUGUCCAAGUCUUUUGUUAUUGCCCUAUCUCUGUACAUACAGAGAUAGACACACACCGAGGCUUAACAUGUGUUGAAAAAAAGCAAACAAAAAGUGCAGUGGGUGUAGUCUACGCUAAUCAUAGACCAGGAAAAAUUAUGUUAUGUUGAAGCUUAUGCACCCGAUAAGUUCAGUAUAGCUUAUCUCAUUUCCAACGCCAUGUUUUGUAGAAAGAAAAGAAAAUAAAAAACAUUCUUGAUUUCGAAUAAUUUUAUGAUUAGAAUAAAUAUUUAUUCAUUUCAACUUUGAAGUAUUACUAGAAAAAACGUAGUUUAUACAACUUUUAACAAAAAGAAUGAUCAGCAGCAUCUGCAUUACGUAAAAAAUGUGCGUCAGUUUUUACACAGAAGGGUUCUGUAAUCUUAUGGAUAAACUUUAGAUCUAACUUAUUUUCUAAAAGAGGCUUUACCCUUCGGGCUAUCGUUUAAAAACAUUUAAUUUUAAUUAACCCUCAGGGGGUUAAAAUAAGUAAAUUCCAAGUGUUAACAAUAUGAAGUUCGUACUGCAUAAUAAUGAACAUAGUAAACAUGCCAUAGAUGGAUUAUUGAUUUACUGCACAAGGGCAGCAAAAAGUCAGGAUAAACAAAACUAUUGCAGAGCUCUCAGUGGAUAACAAUAUUCUCUUGAGGGCGCCUGACUUCUGUCAAAGUCAUUUUGAUAUGUUUUGAAUAUUGAUUUCUUUAUGACAGAAUGAAACUCUAUAUAUAUCACUGUGGUUACGUUAACAGGCUACAUUUUGGAACUCGUGAUGUUAUCGGGAGCACUUUUAUUAUGAACCCUAUUUGUGGAAAUCGAUUCAGAUUUAGAUAUAUCUUCAUCCGAUUUCAUGUUUAUUGUGCACGAAAGUGGUAAAAUCAGCCCGAUGGAAAUCAAAACUGGAACAUGUGGCCGAAGAAGUUUUCGUUUUCGGUUAGCUUAAAAGUGUAUCUAUUUUACCUCCUUAUCUAACUGACAAAAGUACAGAUUGAGAAAGCGAACACUUAGAUAUGGCUUAGGUGUUGAGGGUAAGCAAUGUCGUCGUCUUUUUAAAGAUAGUUGUUUAAAGUCCUGUCACAUUGUCGAAAGAAUACACAGUGAUAUAUAUGGACCAAGUGAUCCGCGAACAGGUAUUUUGUAAGCUUCAUAGAUGAUUAUAGCCACUUCGCAUCAUAUAUCUACUAAAAAAUGCAUUUGACGAAUUUGUCGAAUUAGAAGCAAUGGCUACGGCAAUGCAUUAUAUCAGCAAUAAUUGUAGACCAAGAUACAGAAUAUUUUUCAAACAAAGCAAAGGAAUAUUUUAAAAAUUAACACAGUUUCUUAUACCCACAGCAAAACAGGGUUGCUGAAAGAUUUAACAGCUUAUAGAAUCUGGGUUUCCGAAAGAUUUAAGGGGUGAAGCAGCGUUAACAGCAACAUGUCUUAUAAAUAGAAGCCCCUGCAAAUCUCUUUCUGACAAAAAGACACCUGCCAAAUUGUGAUACAAGUGUAAGCCUAACAUUUCAAAACUAAGAGUUUUUGGAUGUAAGGCAUUUGUCUGUGUUGCUUAACAGAAAAGAAUAAACUGGAUUUAAAAUCACAGGAAAUAGUAAUGAUAUGUUAUACAUGUAAUGGAUACAGAUUGUGGAAUCCAAAGACCCGAAAAAUAGUUAUUGCAAGAGAUGUUCAUUUUGAAACUGUUUUCCUUAUUUGCAACAGAUUCAGGACAAAGAAAAUCCUCAAUUGCUCAUAAGAUCUCGCAGCAACGUUCCUGCUGAACAUUUCAGCUAUGAUGAAAGUAAUUCAGAUGAUCAAUUGGUUUCUGCAGAAAAUUAUAACGAUAUCUAUACUGUCGACGAUGAAACUACUAUUAACGAAAAUGAAGACACAGCUACGCAAUCUGAAGCCCCAAACUUUGAAGCUGUUUCAUUGGAGCCAAGAAGAAGCGAAAGUAUCAGACAUGUUUACAAAAUCAUUGGAUAUAAGAGAAUUCAUAAAAUUUCGAAAUGAACUACAAUUGAAACGUAAUGAUUGGGAGGGGGUGUUCUGAAUAUUUCACUUUUUUAAAGAACUCAGUAAUUUUAAUAUUGUCACAUACGUUUGCAUUUUUUGUUGUAUACCGCGUCUUAUCCCUGCAAAAAAAUUUAUACAAAUGUGAGUGUGAUAUCCGUGGUUAUGCGUACAAGUUGUAAUUAUUUUUUUUUUAAGUCAAGUGAUUUUGAAAACCUGUACAAAUUGUCCUUGGGAGUUUUCCUGUAAAGGUGGGUCAACGUAUCGCGCAAUAUUACAUAACGCACGUCAUUUAUGCUGUUUAGUGUUGACACACCAAGAAAAUCAGUGGUUUUUGUGGGUCCGCGGAGUGACAGUGGAACUUGAAGUUGCCGUCCACUUCCCACUUGAAUUCCACACUAUAUCGAUCUGUGGAUAUCGUGUCAAAUUAAAGAUAGAAAAGUCAUAGCACAUCUUAAGGUGCUGUAUGUGCGAGGUGAAUUCGUGUUUGUAUAUAUUUAAUAUAGUAUAUAUGUUCAUAAUCAGCAUAAAAUUCUAAGUCGAUUUAACGAUGUCCGUCUGUCUGUCUGCCCGUCUGUCUGUCCGUCUGUCUGUUGAAAUCACGAUACAGCCCACAUUAUUUGACGUAGAGCGUCAAAAUUUAGCAGAGCUAUUUGCAUUGUGUCUAGGAUGGUUGGUAUUGAAAAUGAGAUAUAUCGGUCCACGUUCUGGUAUAGUCCCCAAAUAACGGUACCUCCCGAUAUUCGGUAUUUUGAUGAUUUAUGCCACAUUUUUCAUGGAUUUGUCUGGAAAUUGGUAUUUGUAGGUCAUAACGGGUCCCUGAGCGUGUGGCAAAACAUUGCAUGUAUAGGUCCACGUUGUGGUAUAGCCCCCAUAUAAAGGUACCUCCCCAUAUUCGGUAUUUUAAUUUUUUUUUGCCACAUUUUUCCACGGAUUUGUCUAAAAAUUGGUAUUUGUGGGUCAUAGUGGGUUCCAGCUCCGGUGGCGAAACAUUGCAUGUAAGGCUCCAUGUUUUGGUAUAGCCCCCAUUUAACGGUAUCUCCCGAUAUUCGGUAAUUUGAUAAUUUUUGCAACCUUUUUUCACGGAUUUGUCUGAAAAUUGGUAUUUGUUGGUCAUAAUGGGUUCCAGCUCCGGUGGCGAAACAUUGCAUGUAAGGGUCCAUGUUUUGGUAUAGCCCCCAUAUAACAGUACCUCUCGAUAUUCGGUAUUUUGAUGGUUUUUGCCAAAUUUUUUCACUGAUUUGUCUAAAAAUUGGUAUUUGUGGGUCAUAAUGGGUCCUAGUUUGUGUAGCGAAACAUUGUAAUUAUAGGUCCACGUUUUGGUGUAGCCCCCAUAUAACGGUACCUCCCGAUAUUCGGCAUUUUAAUGGUUUUUGCCACAUUUCUUCUAAUGUUUCUUUUACCCUAAGGUGGAUGGUAUUAAAAGUUUGGCCCGGCCGAACUUAAUGUUUUUUUACUUGUUUUUGUUUCAAUUAAUCUAAUCUUUCUGAUAUAUUUUUUUUUGCUAGAUAUUUUUUUUGGUACUGUGAUGGAUGCAGUACCUGGAAUACUAUUGUACUUCGUCCCGGUACGAGGUUCACUUGAAGAACUCGAGGUCCACUUGAAGAUAGUUGACGACAUGAACGUGUUCCCGCUAGCAAAUCCUCACUAGGAAGAACAAUUUGGAGCUAAAACUUACAACAAUGGAAGCCUAUGAAUAUAUACAGAGAGGGUUGCUGAACAAUACGAAUUGGAGAAGCAACAGGAAGCAAGACCACCAACAAAAGAAGAACAAAGGAAGAAAUCCUAUAGAAGAAGAAAGAAAUCCUAUAUCUCGUAUCAACAGCUGAAGAAUACGUCAAAGCAAUGGGAGAAGACGAACAAAUUCUUCUGAUUCCGAUUCCUCAAGGGUCUCGUCAACUACCAAUUACUGUGAGAACGGAAGAUCCCAUACAUGAGCUUACCAUGAAGUCAUUAACAACGUUUUCCUACUUUGAUGUGACGGUUUACAACGAUGGACUAAGAAUUCUAAGACUUGUAAGAUGAAACCGGCUGAUAAUGGUGGCGGUACGAGACUGCAUUAAGAAGUUGUCUUGUCUUCUGGAAGCUGUUACUUAGCAUUAUCUACAUAUAUCUAAAAAUGCUGAUAUCUAAAUACCUUUCAUUUCAUAUUGUUCAUCAUAUCUUUUUUACGUAAUAAUACAGUCCACUAAAAAUGUACACAUUUAAGCCGCCCCGGAGAAUGUACAAAAUAUUUUGCACAUAUGCCGUCUGCGUAAUGUUAAUAAAUAACAACGUUUUCAUCAAUCCAACGAAAGAAUUCGAGAUCUCAAGAUCUUUAUCAAUUGAUUGCUCAGAUUCUUUCCAUAAAUGCAGUUAACAAAACUCAUGAAAGUGUUUGUCUUGGAUGUUCGUCUAAAUUUGUUAAGUAGUGUAGAAUGUGACCAAAUGAUCGAUGCACAGACACAAAGUGAAAAGGACAUACCCCAAAUUUAAUGAUCCAAUCGAUCCUCCCUAACGUAAUGGUUGUUUUGUGUUAAUUAAAUAUCGAAGUACAAAGACUUUUUUAUUUCGCAUAUGAUAAAACGUUCUUUAAAAUAAACUCUUGUCUUAUAUAUAAAUUGUUCCACAUUCCAAAUAGUACUACUAAUAAUAUGCCUCUUGAACACUGGGUGAUUCCAAUUAUGAUCCAGGUACACAGGCUAGUUCCGGAUUUUACUUCUAGCGGCCCCACCUCCUAUCCCGCAGUUCCCUGGCAGGAAAAGAAUUAGCCCGGAUGACGCUAUGAUAAGCUCUUUAAUAUCUGAAGCGAAUAACACUUAUCGGUAUCAAUCAGAGGAUAGAUUAGAAAAAAGGAAACACCAAACUAUUCAGGCAGGUUUUGAAAGCAUAGGGAACAAACAUAAUGAUCCAGAAUUGGAAAAUGGUAACGACUUCAUCAAGGUUGUAUGGUUUAGGGGGGAGUCAAGAUCCAAUCAUGAACGCUCCAGUGAAACCCCGUGAAACUACAGAAAACAUGGCUUACAGAUACGUCGAGAAAACCAUUAUUCAUCUAAUACCAUGAAUCCGCAUUCAACACAAAUGGGGACCAGUAGAAACCUGAUUGUUGUGGACAAAUCCAUGUUUGGAUGCAGAGGACUUCGUGCUAAGUAAGUAAGUAAUCCGUGAUUUUCAACUAUUGCUCAAAGGAGACGCAAAGAAGUGGUUUUGUAUCUUGAUGGCCAAUCAAUACAAUCGACCAGUUGCGUGACGAGUGCACGGAAUUACAAAAAAAAAUAUUUGAAGAAGGAGAGAUUUAUUGCCCCACCGACAAAACCUCCACCAGCAAUCCGUCGAACAUAUCCGUUAAAUAAAGUAUACAUCGAGGAACAGUCACAAACACAAAUUGAUGACGAGGUUGUAAUUGUUGAAGAAAUAAAACUUAACUUAAAACCUGUUGGAACUGCCAAGUUGAUGGACAUAUUUGUAUCGAGUGUCCGGUCCCACAGCACAAUCUGUUCUGUUACAGAUGCGGGUAUCCAGGGUUAACUUAAAUGUUGCUUUCACCAAAACUCAAAUAUUGAAAAGAAUAUUUAAUAAUGAGGUUAGCCACGGAAAUGUAGUUAAAUCUAAAUAAGUCAAAAUGUUGUUAUAAAGAAGUACACUACUUAGGAUUCAUAGUUAGAGGAUUUGUCAUGACGGACCAGUCUACGGUAGAUGCUAUUAGAAAAAUUCCUUUUCCUAAAAAUGGUAGAAAACUACGAAGCUUUAUAGGAGUCGCCGACCGUAGAUUCGUCAGGAACUUUUCAGAACUAACAGCACCGCUCAAUAAUCUUAUAAAGAAAGACAAGAAAUUCGUCAUUAAUUAUAAGGCUUUGGAAAGUUUUAUUAAGGUGAAGUACGCGUUGACUCGUGUACCUGUCUUGGUACACCCUGACUUGCAAAAGCGAUUCUACAUCCAAUGCGAUGCUUCGGAUUUAGUCGCAGGAGCUGUUUUGUUCCAAAAGGGCAACGAAGUUCAUGAAAGGCUCAUUGCAUUCUUCUCCCAAAAGUUGAACAGUGCGCAGAUAAACAGCAGUGUCACCUAGAAUGAUUCAGGCCUUAUGUGGAACUUAUGCCUUUCACAAUAUUCACCGAUCACGCAAUUCUAAAAUGGCUUAUGGCUCUACGGGAUCUAAAUGGCAGGUUAGCACGGUGGGCGCUAAAUUUGCAGAUGUUCGAUUUCGAGAUAGAACACAAGAAAAAGAAAGGUAGAUUAAUUGUUAAUGCCAGAAGAUGUCAUUGGAUUCGAAACUGUGGAAUUUGAGUCUGAAGAAUAUAUGGACUUAAUAAAACAAUAGAGGAAAAUAGAGAGCAAUUUCCAGACAUUAAUGUGAAACAUGGUAUGGUAUUUAAAAGAAAAGCACCCAGAGUCAAAAUGGAGCUAGAAGAAUUUGAGUGAAAACUGUGGUUUACGGAAAGCCUAGCCACUACCCUGAUUCAAAUGGCCCACGAACCAGAGGAAAGGUCAUAUGGAGGAAUAAGGAAGACGUUCAAUCACCUCAAACUGAAAUGUAAUUGGUCCAAUAUGGUUGUCCACGUAUCAACUUUAUAAAAAACUGGAAAGUAUACAACUUACAUAUGAUGCCUCAGAUUGGAAAUGAAGUACAGACAGACCGCCCGUGCCAAAAAUAACGGAAAGCAUUUCGUUUCUAAAUAAUUUCAGAAAGUGAUAAAAGACUUCAAGAUAGACCCUAUGAGGACCGCUUACUAUGCACUGCAAUCCAACGCCACGGAGCGAGAAAACCAAAGAAGCGUUUAGAUCUUAUCUAGAUAACGACCACACUAACUGGGACAUGAAUUCAGCAAACAUAGAGCUAGCGCUACGAACGUCAGUCCACGCAGGGGUAACGCCGUUGUUUGAUUAUUAGGCCAUGUUUACUUGCGGGAAAGACUAUUCUUGAUUCUCGGUGUCCAUUUAUUUAUAUAAAUUAUUUUGCUCUUCGCCAUGACCAGUGUUAUUACUACACUUGUAAAAUAUAAUAUAGUAGAAUAUUACCAAAAACAACUUCGACCCAUUUAGUUACAGAAUUAGAAUGUGAGCCUUUGUAAAAGUUUUUUAUUGUCCUAUCUCUAUACAUACAAGUGACACACACCGAGGCUUUACAUGUGUUGAAAAAAAAAAAAAAAACAAACUAAAUGUGCACUGGGUGUAGCCUCUGCAUUACAUAAAAAAAUGUGGGUCAGUUUUCUGGGAAUGAGAUGGGAAAAUACAUACAAACAUUCCUAUGUGCAGAACCAAGAUAUCAGGGACUCACAUGUGUGCCACCAGCAUUUAGUAUUGUAGAGUAUAAAAGUAAACAUUGAAUAAUGGUAUCUCUCCAAAUUUAUGGAAAAAGAGUCCGAUUUAAAUUUAACACAUUUUAAUAUUGCUAUCAACAUGAGAACUGGUGUGAAGACAACAAAGUUCGAUAUUUCCAUAUUUCCCGGGUAACGUCGAAAGUCUGCUAAGGUCAGAUGUGAAGUGGACGAUUUGGGGUCCACUUCUUUGGUACAACCGCCCGAUAGUGUCAACAUUUUAAAUAAUAAUUUAAUUCAGAUUUCUUUUAAGUUUUGUUGUUCUAUGUGUCGAUGAAAGGAUAAUGCGUGUUUAUACCACCAGUGUCAGGUUGUGGUAUGAGAACGGCUGGUAUGUGAAACCUAUCUAGUUGCCAGGUCAGGGUUGGGAGUUACCAUAUGUUUUUCUUUUAGUAAGAGCGAAUUUAAGAGAGCAGUCACGCAUAUAUAUUUAUACAAUUUCAUAUGUUCAAAGCCAACGAGCAAUGAACUUGAACCGUUGUUAAAUCAUAGGAAAUUUGUUAGUAGAAGAGAAUAAUGAGACAAAUGAGGUUUAGAAGAUUGUUUUUGAUUAUGCAAGAAAUAGGCUAAAGUAAUUUCGUUAUGGACAGCUAAGUUUAAUCUUAAAGUAAAACUCGCACAGCAUACGGUAUUAAAAGAUUUGGAACAUGAAAUCUAAUUUUUUUCUUUUAACUAACGUAUUAAAAUCACUGGUUGGAUCAACUGAGUUACCUUAAUUUUUAAUUUUAUUUUUAUCUCUGCAAGAAUAUUAUAAAAAGUUAUGGGCGAUAUCAAGCAAGAGUUAAUUUUGAGAACUGGAGUUUUCGAGUGCGGAUUUAUCUGUAUUCCAUAGAGAAAAUUCCACCAGCCGAACAAAACUUAGCUGAAGCACUCUCUAACAAGGAUAAAAAGGCUAAGACAACAAUCGUCGGCCUAAUAGCAGAAUGUAUUCGCGACAAGAAAACAGUAAAGGAGAGUGGUCUGCUCUGCAAAAUACAUUCGCUAAGAAGUCGGUUACAAGUUAGACAUUGGUAAGAAAACAAAUAGUGGUUCUACGAAUGAAGUCUGGUGAUGAAUUGCGGAAAUAUUUACUACUGUUUGAUGAUCUUUUACGAAAAAUGUGG